GCUUCAAUGGUUCAGGGGUAGAAUUCGUCGUUGCCAUCGACGAGACCGCGGUUCGACUCCGCGUUGAAGCA
rnacentral:tRNA from 1 species